rnacentral:rRNA from 1 species
GGUGAACGCUGGCGGCGUGCCUAACACAUGCAAGUCGAGCGGUGCAGUUUGAAGCUUCGGUGGAAAGCCGCAUAGCGGCGGACGGGUGAGGAAAACGUAGGAACGUGCCCCUUGGAGUUGGAUAGCCACGGGAAACUGUGGGUAAACCGACAUAGACUCGAGAGAGUAAAGGCCGAAAGGCGCCAAGGGAGCGGCCUGCGGCCCAUCAGGUAGUUGGUAGUGUAAAGGACUACCAAGCCGACGACGGGUAGCCGGUCUGAGAGGAUGGCCGGCCACAAGGGCACUGAGAGACGGGCCCUACUCCUACGGAGGCAGCAGUGGGGAUUUGGACAAUGGGCGAAAGCCUGAUCCAGCCAUUCCGCGUGCAGGAUGAAGGCCCUCGGGUUGUAAACUGCUUUUGUACAGAACGAAAAAGCUCUUUCUAAUACAGAGAGUCCAUGACGGUACUGUAAGAAUAAGCACCGGCUAACUACGUGCCAGCAGCCGCGGUAAUCACGAGAGUACUGAAACUGA